rnacentral:lncRNA from 1 species
UUAGGUAUUUUAACAAACAAUGAGCAGGUAAUGAAUGCGUUUAGUACAUAAAAAUAGGGCUUUUGGUGCUCGGUAAAGACUCUUUGCAGCACUUACACAAUAGUUACAAAGUGUUUUUCACACUAUUCUCAAAGCACAAUGUUACAAAUGCUGCACACAUUUCUGACUAAUCUAAAAAACAUAUAGAUUCAACUUGGUACAAAACUAGUCACACUUAGCAACCUAUUUGCUAGCAACGUAAACUCAUACCAACUCAAGCUACAGCUGUCAAUAACGGAAACCAAGUGGCACCAUACCAUGAGAGCCGAUGAUGACUCUUAACAAGAUGAAGUUUUUUGCUUUGGUGCGGGAUUUAUGGCUGAGACAUAGAGAAAAAAUGAAAGUACAAGAAGAGGGAAAAAAGGCAAGUUUGUUUUGUAGUUUAAUUUUAACAGAUUUUUUAAUUUUAUUAGAAAACUUUAAAAACAAGAUACCUUUUUUCUCAUAAGAAAUUCUUUUGAAAUAAAAUUCACAUCA